UUCCAGACUCCUACGGGAGGCAGCAGUGAGGAAUAUUGGUCAAUGGGAGAGAUCCUGAACCAGCCAAGCCGCGUGAGGGAAGACGGCCCUAUGGGUUGUAAACCUCUUUUGUCGGAGAACAAAACCCGGGACGUGUCCCGGACUGCGUGUAUCCGAAGAAAAAGCAUCGGCUAACUCCGUGCCAGCAGCCGCGGUAAUACGGAGGAUGCGAGCGUUAUCCGGAUUUAUUGGGUUUAAAGGGUGCGCAGGCGGAUUUUUAAGUCAGCGGUCAAAUCGUGGGGCUCAACCCCAUCCAGCCGUUGAAACUGGGGAUCUAGAGUGUGCGAGAGGUAUGCGGAAUGCGUGGUGUAGCGGUGAAAUGCAUAGAUAUCACGCAGAACCCCGAUUGCGAAGGCAGCAUACCGGUGCACAACUGACGCUCAGGCACGAAAGCGUGGGUAUCGAACAGGAUUAGAUACCCGCGUAC
rnacentral:rRNA from 1 species